AAUAUAUUCUGUGUUCUUCUGAGGGCAUGGAAGAUUCUGCAUGGAGGGACAGUGCUUAACUGUUUUCAGAGAAUGAGCUGGAAUAUAGUCCUCUUGUUAAACUGCUGAUGGUGAGAACUAGAAAAUCCAAGUGCUCUUCUUCUCUAUUUGCAGUGUGAGUGGGAAGUGAGUAAUUGGUUUUCUCCAUUUACUGAAUAGAAAUAGCGAUAUUUUAUCAAACAUAUUGCCUUGUUACACUGGGUUAUGCCUGUGUAAUGUAACUCUAUAGACAGAGAACAUGGAGAUGAAUCUUCACAGGAAGA
rnacentral:lncRNA from 1 species